CUGUGGUUGUAUCGUCAUAGUAACCGGAGUGUGCGGACAGGGUGACCCUCCCCUUGGCGAAAGGAUUCCCGGGAAACCGCCCAGGAUUCCCCCGUGACUUCCCUUCCCAGGCCACCCUGGCGUGGGAAUCGAGGACACCGUCGGCGACUGAGCGUCCGACAGCCUGCGGGACUAGACCGGCGAAGGUGGAAACACGUCCUAGAAAGCUGACAAGUGGUACUCAAGCAUUUGAAAUCCAGGACGGUCGGAGGGGCUUAUUACUGCCCUCCCUCUUAGAAGGGUUCCCAGUAAGGAUCCCGGCUUGAUUAUUAAAGGCCGCUUUUCAAGUACCCUCCUCCCAGGAGUCUCAGUAUUUUAGAACUUGACACCCUGUAAUUUGGGGAUCAGAGAGAAAAUAUUGACUAAACUAGUGUUGGCACGAAGGUCCAAUGAAAGGAGUCUAGGAAAAGAAUUUUCCAUUCUUAUGAACAACUCUUUUUGAAUGUCUUAUAUGCAUUUUGUGUCAGGUACGGGGCUAAAACGCAGUCAAUGUAUUGUAGAGUGUAUGAGAAUUGCUGGAGAAGUCGUCAUGCUGACAGCUUGAAUAAAUUGACGUUUUCCAAAUUUCA